rnacentral:rRNA from 1 species
UGGCUCAGAACGAACGCUGGCGGCGUGCUUAACACAUGCAAGUCGAACGAGGUCCAUCCAGUGGCAACACUGGUGAAGACCUAGUGGCGAACGGGUGAGUAACACGUGAGGAACCUGCCCCGAAGACCGGGAUAACCCUCCGAAAGGAGAGCUAAUACCGGAUGCCCUUUCCGGACUGCAUGAUCCGGCAAGGAAAUGGAUUCCGCUUUGGGAGGGUCUCGCGGCUUAUCAGCUCGUUGGUGGGGUAACGGCCCACCAAGGCUUGGAAAGGUAGCUGGUCUGAGAGGACGAUCAGCCACACUGGGAUUGACUCACGGCCCAAGAACCUACGGGAGGC